UACGUAGGGUGCAAGCGUUGUCCGGAAUUAUUGGGCGUAAAGAGCUCGUAGGCGGUUUGUCGCGUCGGCUGUGAAAACCCGGGGCUCAACCCCGGGCCUGCAGUCGAUACGGGCAAACUAGAGUGUGGUAGGGGAGACUGGAAUUCCUGGUGUAGCGGUGAAAUGCGCAGAUAUCAGGAGGAACACCGGUGGCGAAGGCGGGUCUCUGGGCCAUAACUGACGCUGAGGAGCGAAAGCAUGGGGAGCGAACAGG
rnacentral:rRNA from 1 species